CUCACUCGCUACUCCCCCGGGGGUUUCGAGGCUCCCGAGAACGAGAGGGAGAGCUGUAGCUUGUGCUUUCUGGCAUCAGCAAACCAGGGCGUAGUUGUUGCACGGGAUCAAAAAGCAACGUCGCUAUGAACGCUUGGCUGCCACAAGCCAGUUAUCCCUGUGGUAACUUUUCUGACACCUCUAGCUUCAUACUUCGAAGUCGUAAAGGAUCGAUAGGCCAUGCUUUCACAGUUUGUAUUCGUACUGAAAAUCAAAAUCAAAUGAGCUUUUGCCCUUUUACUCUACGCGAGAUUUCUGUUC
rnacentral:ribozyme from 1 species